rnacentral:rRNA from 1 species
GACGAACGCUGGCGGCGUGCUUAACACAUGCAAGUCGAACGAUGAACCCCUUGCGGUGUUAGUGGCGAACGGGUGAGUAACACGUGAGUAACCUGCCCUUGACUCUGGGAUAAGCGUUGGAAACGACGUCUAAUACCGGAUACGAGCUUCCACCGCAUGGUGAGUUGCUGGAAAGUUUGGUCAAGGAUGGACUCGCGGCCUAUCAGCUUGUUGGUGAGGUAAUGGCUCACCAAGGCGACGACGGGUAGCCGGCCUGAGAGGGUGACCGGCCACACUGGGACUGAGACACGGCCCAGACUCCUACGGGAGGCAGCAGUGGGGAAUAUUGCACAAUGGGCGAAAGCCUGAUGCAGCAACGCCGCGUGAGGGACGACGGCCUUCGGGUUGUAAACCUCUUUUAGCAGGGAAGAAGCGAAAGUGACGGUACCUGCAGAAAAAGCACCGGCUAACUACGUGCCAGCAGCCGCGGUAAUACGUAGGGUGCAAGCGUUGUCCGGAAUUAUUGGGCGUAAAGAGCUCGUAGGCGGUUUGUCGCGUCUGCUGUGAAAUCCCGAGGCUCAACCUCGGGUCUGCAGUGGGUACGGGCAGACUAGAGUGCGGUAGGGGAGAUUGGAAUUCCUGGUGUAGCGGUGGAAUGCGCAGAUAUCAGGAGGAACACCGAUGGCGAAGGCAGAUCUCUGGGCCGCUACUGACGCUGAGGAGCGAAAGGGUGGGGAGCAAACAGGCUUAGAUACCCUGGUAGUCCACCCCGUAAACGUUGGGCGCUAGAUGUGGGGACCUUCCACGUUUCCGUGUCGUAGCUAACGCAUUAAGCGCCCCGCCUGGGGAGUACGGCCGCAAGGCUUAAACUCAAAGGAAUUGACGGGGGCCCGCACAAGCGGCGGAGCAUGCGGAUUAAUUCGAUGCAACGCGAAGAACCUUACCAAGGCUUGACAUAUACGAGAACGGGCCAGAAAUGGUCAACUCUUGGACACUCGUAACAGGUGGUGCAUGGUUGUCGUCAGCUCGUGUCGUGAGAUGUUGGGUUAAGUCCCGCAACGAGCGCAACCCUCGUUCUAUGUUGCCAGCACGUAAUUGGGAACUCAUGGGAUACUGCCGGGGUCAACUCGGAGGAAGGUGGGGACGACGUCAAAUCAUCAUGCCCCUUAUGUCUUGGGCUUCACGCAUGCUACAAUGGCCAGUACAAAGGGCUGCAAUACCGUAAGGUGGAGCGAAUCCCAAAAAGCUGGUCCCAGUUCGGAUUGAGGUCUGCAACUCGACCUCAUGAAGUCGGAGUCGCUAGUAAUCGCAGAUCAGCACGCUGCGGUGAAUACGUUCCCGGGCCUUGUACACACCGCCCGUCAAGUCAUGAAAGUCGGUAACACCCGAAGCCAGUGGCCUAACCGCAAGGAUGGAGCUGUCUAAGGUGGGAUCGGUAAUUAGGACU